rnacentral:misc_RNA from 1 species
UACGGAAGGUGCGAGCGUUAAUCGGAUUUACUGGGCGUAAAGCGUGCGUAGGCGGUUUGAUAAGUCGGAUGUGAAAGCCCCGGGCUCAACCUGGGAAUUGCACCCGAAACUGUCUGACUAGAGUGUGGUAGAGGAAAGUGGAAUUCCAGGUGUAGCGGUGAAAUGCGUAGAUAUCUGGAGGAACAUCAAUGGCGAAGGCAGCUUUCUGGGCCAACACUGACGCUGAGGUACGAAAGCGUGGGGAGCAAACAGG